UUAACCAUAUGUAGUUAUAGUUGUUAAAGUCACUUCAUCUUAUUAGUUCUUCUUCCUGUUUCCCUUUUCUAGAUCCUUGAAGGGAAAGCAUAUAAGCUAAAUUUCCCUUGGAUUGGUGUUGUCAAUCGCUCCCAAGUAGAUAUCAAUAAAAAUGUUGAUAUGAUUGCUGCUCGACGUAGAGAGCAAGAGUAUUUUGAAACUAUCCCAGAAUAUAGACAUCUCGCAAGCAGAAUCGGCUCAGUGGAUCUCGGAAAGUUUCAAGUAUAAGUAAGUCACAAUACAGAGAAAAAAAAUCUGAGGUAGGGAUGGCUUAACUCACAACAUGCUGGAUGUUAUUCAUCAGCAUUGGAAAUAUGCUGAAGUGGCUAGGAUCAAAUGCAUGGGCGUUCCAACUGUUGACAUGAAAAAUUUUUGCACCCAGCUUGAGGACAAAACAUAUGGAAAGGUCAUUUUCAGGCAUGGGGGUAACUCCUCUCAUACUGUGGAAACCCCAAGAACCUGUCUAUCCUAGACUGAUUAAGACAACAAUUGAGGGUUUGAGUAUUGAGGAAACUAAAGAGAUGAGGAAGAAAGGACUAGCCGUUUCUGUGUUAACAAAACUUAGUAUGCUUGCAAUAUUUUCUAAUUCCAGUUUUAUGUAUGCUUUCUGCAAAGGUUAUUGACUCUGAAUUGAAUUGCAGCCAAAAAUGGCUAUUAUGCAUAUUUGGUGCCAAUGGUCAGAGCAGCCAAAAAAUUUCUUUCUUCAUCCUUAUUCAGCCACCAUACCUGAAUCUUUCUUUAUUAAGGGUACCCUUUCAUGUAAUUAAACUUGUUUGUAAUUCUAAAUGCUUAUUCCAGAUUGCAUUCUCCAAAGCUUUAGAAUAUGAAUUGAUAUAAUUAAUGUUCAGUUUUAACCUUCAAAUGAUAUUUUCUUGAUAUACAUCAAGAGCUUGGUUAUAGAAAAACCCAGGGUGAUGAAGUUGAAGAUAUGUUUAUUUACUUCGUGAAGUGAAAAGCCAGAUACCUAAAGUUACUGCAGUGUCUUCUGGGGCCAUUGCAUCUGACUAUUCGAGAUUGCGGGUGGAAAGUGUUUGUUCAAGGUUAGGCCUUGUUUCUCUGGCAUACUCAUGGAAACAAGAUCAAUCAUUGCUCCUCCAAGAAAUGGUUAUAUGGAAUUAAUGUUUGUGGUGAAGGAAGGGAAUAUGAAACGCUAACUCUUGAUUACCCUGUCUUCGUUUUAAGUUCAUACUGUCUCUCUUUUGGCUAUGUAAUAUUUGGAUUAUUUGUCCUACCUUCCUAGUGCUCUAGCUGGUCCACUAUACAUUAUGAAUUUGGAGAUAUUCCUUACAUAUUUGUUACCGUUCAUAAAGUUGGUCUUAAUUAGCUUUCGUUCAUAUUGAUGUCAAUUUUGUGAUCACACUGAACUUGAGAAUUCAAUCUUGUACUUGCUACUCAUUUUGCUUCAAUUUUAAUCCCUAUUUAUAUUUCUAUUUUCUUCUUUCAUCAUAAUAUUCCUUUGAAUCUCCAGAAUGCUCGAAUUGUGCUUGAUGAAUAUCAAGUUGUGAGACACUUUUCAGAUUCUAUAGCUCCUGUUGGAAUCCUUCGUCCCUUGAAAUUUCAUUUGGAGAAGAAGGUAGAUAUUCAAUCUUUAAUAUCACCAGAGAACAUAAGUGAAACUUCAGUUCAGAAACUGGAAACUGUGUUUGAAGUGGAAGACACUUUAGAAAGAUGUGAAGACACAUUUAAGCCGUUGGAUUGCAGUGCUGACCCAAUUGAUGACUUAGCACAUAAAUUUAACAUCUCAAGAACAAAUAACAAGAGAACACUCUCCUUAAGUUGCUCGUUACAAGAUUCAUGCAACGAUUUACGGGAAGAUUUGAUGACUGUUUUGGCAAAAAUUGAAUCACUAUUAGCUGGCUUUGGCUUUGGGUGGGAGAAUGUUGUCUAUGUUGCAGGUACAUUUGGAUACUUGUCUCCUGAGUGUUUCCAACGCCUGACCGUUACAGAUAAAUGUGACGUUUACUCCUUUGGUAUGGUUCUACUUGUAAUGGUAUGCAUGAAGGAGAAGGAUUUGUUUCUUAAUAAGGCCAACAUGUUUGGUAACCAACAUUUGGAGGGGAAGAGUGAAAUCAAAUACUUAGAGAAGUUCAUUGAUGAUCAAGUUCAACCAUGGAAUGUAGUAGCCUUUAUUUAGCGAUUCCCAAUCGAAGAGAUCAUUGAUCCAACCCUUAGGGGAAAGAUUGCACCAAAGUGCUAGGAAGUGUUCAUGGAUGUUACACAAAGAUGCUUGAAGCAUGAACCUGAUGGCUUUAUUUUCAACUAUAAAAUUAUUUUUGGGAUAAAUUAGAAGACAACUACAGAUGGUGUAGGUUCUUAUUUUUAUUACACUGAGAAAGGCUCAGUAUUUGAUUAAUGGCCUGAGUUAAUACACGUUGUUGAUGUAUGGUCGUUACUUAUUAUAGUUGAUAUAUCAAUACACUUUGUUUAUGUUUUUAAUUAUAUUGACUUGCUUG